rnacentral:rRNA from 1 species
AUUGAACGCUGGCGGCAGGCUUAACACAUGCAAGUCGAGCGGAGUGAUGGUGCUUGCACUAUCACUUAGCGGCGGACGGGUGAGUAAUGCUUAGGAAUCUGCCUAUUAGUGGGGGACAACAUCUCGAAAGGGAUGCUAAUACCGCAUACGUCCUACGGGAGAAAGCAGGGGAUCACUUGUGACCUUGCGCUAAUAGAUGAGCCUAAGUCGGAUUAGCUAGUUGGUGGGGUAAAGGCCUACCAAGGCGACGUUCUGUAGCGGGUCUGAGAGGAUGAUCCGCCACACUGGGACUGAGACACGGCCCAGACUCCUACGGGAGGCAGCAGUGGGGAAUAUUGGAAAAUGGGGGGAACCCUGAUCCAGCCAUGCCGCGUGUGUGAAGAAGGCCUAAUGGUUGUAAAGCACUUUAAGCGAGGAGGGGGCUCUUUUGGUUAAUACCCAAGAUGAGUGGACGUUACUCGCAGAAUAAGCACCGGCUAACUCUGUGCCAGCAGCCGCCGCCG